CGGCGAACGGGUGAGUAACACGUGGGUGAUCUGCCCUGCACUUCGGGAUAAGCCUGGGAAACUGGGUCUAAUACCGGAUAUGACCUCCUAUCGCAUGGUGGGUGGUGGAAAGAUUUAUCGGUGCAGGAUGGGCCCGCGGCCUAUCAGCUUGUUGGUGGGGUAAUGGCCUACCAAGGCGACGACGGGUAGCCGACCUGAGAGGGUGACCGGCCACACUGGGACUGAGACACGGCCCAGACUCCUACGGGAGGCAGCAGUGGGGAAUAUUGCACAAUGGGCGAAAGCCUGAUGCAGCGACGCCGCGUGAGGGACGACGGCCUUCGGGUUGUAAACCUCUUUCAGCAGGGACGAAGCGCAAGUGACGGUACCUGCAGAAGAAGCACCGGCUAACUACGUGCCAGCAGCCGCGGUAAUACGUAGGGUGCAAGCGUUGUCCGGAAUUACUGGGCGUAAAGAGUUCGUAGGCGGUUUGUCACGUCGUUUGUGAAAACUCACAGCUCAACUGUGAGCCUGCAGGCGAUACGGGCAGACUUGAGUACUGCAGGGGAGACUGGAAUUCCUGGUGUAGCGGUGAAAUGCGCAGAUAUCAGGAGGAACACCGGUGGCGAAGGCGGGUCUCUGGGCAGUAACUGACGCUGAGGAACGAAAGCGUGGGUAGCGAACAGGAUUAGAUACCCUGGUAGUCCACGCCGUAAACGGUGGGCGCUAGGUGUGG
rnacentral:rRNA from 1 species